AGUCCCCUGCGGUGUUUGCCAGGAUCCGGAGAUUCUUGAACCAACAUUGAAAUCACGGGUCGCAGCCCUUGUGUCACUGUUGUGCGCGUCCCCGUUCCCGGAACGAGCCGGACGUGCCUGAUGUGACCGGAAAGCGACCACUUUGAACCGUACUUGGUUCAGGAUCAGGGUCCAGCGGCACAGGCGGGGGGCAC
rnacentral:other from 1 species